rnacentral:lncRNA from 1 species
GUGCUCCCUCCUCUGAAACCAAACACCGCAGUUCUUUGCUUUCACCAGCAGACUUCAUAUGCAUCAGCUUAUCACACUUUGAGAGCUCCGGAUACCUCAAGCCACAGGAGCAAUACACGAAACACUUGCACAAUCCUCAGACCACAGAGGCGGAACGACAGCUCACCUCAAAGUUGGUGUUUUGACAAGUUGAAAGCCUGUGUUUGUUCCUGCAGUACACAGAUAUGUCAUUAUGCUACAUUUAAUAGGCUCGAUCUGGGGAAACCAUUCUUCUUUGUGGCAGGUAUGGCCACAAAUACCAGUAUGGCCAACUAACAGUAUCAGCCUGGUGUUUUAAGUGCUAUAUUGCUCUCAUGGUACACAGGAAGAGCAGAAGUUAGGUGAACUUCAUUCAGCAACGGAGAGCAUGCUUGCAGCGCAGGCCAAGUCACCGCAAAAAGAGGUGUUCGUUUGUUUUAACUGAGGUAGGUGUAACUGCACUAACAGCAACCACCGAAUACGCAGGCUAGUUCUCUCAGUCUUUACUUCUUAAGGGCAAUUUUCAAGAUUUUAGCUUUGAUAUAGCAAUAACUUUUUUAACCAGACCCAGAAUCCCUUCUCUAUCUGAAGGAGCUUUCAUACCCUAUCCGGAUAAGGUUUCAAUCUGUAAUGAGG